rnacentral:rRNA from 1 species
CUUUGAUCAAUAGCUGAUCUGAGAGGAUGAUCAGCCACAUUGGGACUGAGACACGGCCCAAACUCCUACGGGAGGCAGCAGUAGGGAAUAUUGCACAAUGGAGGAAACUCUGAUGCAGCGAUGCCGCGUGAGUGAAGAAGGCCUUUGGGUUGUAAAGCUCUUUCGUCGGGGAAGAAAAUGACGGUACCCGAAUAAGAAGGUCCGGCUAACUUCGUGCCAGCAGCCGCGGUAAUACGAAGGGACCUAGCGUAGUUCGGAAUUACUGGGCUUAAAGAGUUCGUAGGUGGUUAAAAAAGUUGGUUGUGAAAUCCCGAAGCUUAACUUCGGAACUGCAAUCAAAACUUUUUAGCUAGAGUAUGAUAGAGGAAAGCAGAAUUUCUAGUGUAGAGGUGAAAUUCGUAGAUAUUAGAAAGAAUACCAAUUGCGAAGGCAGCUUUCUGGAUCAUUACUGACACUGAGGAACGAAAGCAUGGGUAGCGAAGAGGAUUAGAUACCCUCGUAGUCCAUGCCGUAAACGAUGUGUGUUAGACGUUGGAAAUUUAUUUUCAGUGUCGCAGCGAAAGCAGUAAACACACCGCCUGGGGAGUACGACCGCAAGGUUAAAACUCAAAUGAAUUGACGGGGACCCGCACAAGUAGUGGAGCAUGUGGUUUAAUUCGAAGAUACGCGCAGAACCUUACCAACACUUGACAUGUUCGUCGCGGCUCUAAGAGAUUAGAGCUUUCGGUUCGGCCGGACGAAACACAGGUGCUGCAUGGCUGUCGUCAGCUCGUGUCGUGAGAUGUUGGGUUAAGUCCCGCAACGAGCGCAACCCUCACUUUUAGUUGCCAUCAUUUAGUUGGGCACUCUGAAAGAACUGCCAGUGAUAAGCUG